rnacentral:rRNA from 1 species
GACAGAGGCCUCGAGCGUUAGGCGGAAUCACUGGGCUUAAAGCGUGUGUAGGCGGAUCGUUAAGUGCCUUGUGAAAUCCCACGGCUUAACUGUGGAACGGCUGGGCAUACUGGGCGGUCUUGAGCCAUCUAGGGGCGACUGGAACAAACGGUGGAGCGGUGAAAUGCGUAGAUAUCAGGAGGAACACCGGUGGCGAAGGCGGGUCUCUGGGCCGAUACUGACGCUGAGGAGCGAAAGCGUGGGGAGCGAACAGG